GACGGAGGGUGCAAGCGUUGUUCGGAUUGACUGGGCGUAAAGGGCGUGUAGGCGGUUUGUCAAGUCGGGUGUGAAAGCCUGGGGCUCAGCCCCAGGAGUGCAUCCGAAACUAGCGAGCUAGAGCGCGGUAGAGGAGGGUGGAAUUCCUGGUGUAGCGGUGAAAUGCGUAGAUAUCAGGAGGAACCCCGGCGGCGAAGGCGGCCCUCUGGCUCGUUGCUGACGCUGAGCCGCGAAAGCGUGGGGAGCAACCAGG
rnacentral:rRNA from 1 species